ensembl:lncRNA
AAAAAAGAGGGAGAGGGAGAGGGAGAAGAGUAGAAAGUGGCAUUUUGUGUUUGUUUAUGUUUAUGCUUAUGCUUAUGCUUAUGCUUAUGUUUUUUUUUUUUGAUAAUGUUUUUUUUUUUUGAUAAUGUGCUCUGUUCUACAUUGCCUUAUGAGUAACUCGUUAUAUGUCUACCCAUUCUUACACAUACAUACGUAGACUCAUGCGCACACAUAUACAUAUCAACCCCUUUUUACCUUGCAGGAGGAAAAUAAGGACGCACUACUUGCAAACAAAAAGGAGCUUAAACAGAAGGUCGAAAAUAUAAUAAUAGAUAAAAAAGACUCGAUUUCAAUCAACACAAGAUUACAACAACAAAUACAGUUUUUAGAAAACCAAAUAACAUCACAAGAAUAUUUUUUAAAUGCUAUCAAUUGUGGUUUGCAAAGUGCUGUCGAAAAAAAACAAGAACUUGAAAACUUAUUAGAUAAUACAAAAAAUGAAAUAAAUAGUACGAUAAAACAAAUUGAAUUAACAAAAACAUAUAUUGCAGAGAAUACAAAAGAAAAGACAGAUUUAGAUUUAAAAAUAGAGAAUUUACAGGAAAUAUUAAAAAAUAAAAAAAAAGAAUUAGAAAAAAUUACAACUGAAGAUAAUGCAUUAAAUUUAAAAAUAGAAAGUGAAAAGAAAAAAAUAAAUAAAAAUAUGCUUAAAGAUUUGUCAAAAGAAAAAGGUUGUAUAGAUGAAGAAAUUAAUAAUUACAAAACAGAGCUUCAAAAAUUGUUACAAAGUGAAAAUAAAAAAAUGGGACACAUUCUGGAUAACAUACAAAUUGAUGUGGUUAUAGAGAGUGAUUGUAGUAGUAGUAGUAGUAUUAGUAGUAGUUCUACCAAUGACACUGGUAAUAAAAGUGAGACUAAUAGAGAUAAGAAGAGUAAUAAUGAUAACGUAACAUAUGAAACAAACAAAAUGAGUACAUGUGCUGACAAACAAACAAAUAUUAUAAUAACGUUAGAAAACAUACUAAGCGAUUUAAAAGCAAACAUAAAAAAGGAACAAGAUAGUAUCUGGGGUAAUGAAAGAGUUUUAUUAAAUAAGAAAGAUGAAAUUAAAAAGUUAGAAACCCAAAUAAAUGAAAAGAUAAAAACGUGUAACAAAAUAGAUCUUAGUGUAACAAAAAAAAAAGAAGAAUUAACAUUAAUAAAUAAAAAGGAAAAAGAAGGAGAUAACCGUUUAAUAUUUUUAAAAAAAGACCUACAGAAAUUAGAAAAGAAUCAUAAAAAAGAAUAUGAACAGUUAAUAGAAAUUGAGAAGAAAUUAAAAGAAAUUGAAAAAAAGAAUGAAGAGAAAAUAAUAGAGUUACAUAAAAAAUAUAAUGAACAAACUAAAAGUUUAUAUGAUACGAAAAAUAACAAAAUGGAUAUUCAAUCAGCAGAAAAACAAAAAAUGAAAGAAGAAAUGGAUAUAUAUUCUGAACAGAUAAUAAAAGAAUAUGAACAAAAAAAAAAAGAGUUUGAAAAAAAUGAAACUGAAAAAUACGAUGAAGUAUAUAAUAAAAUGGAAGAAGAGUUGAAUCAAAAAGAAAAUCUUAUCAAUUAUUAUAAAGAGUUGUUAACUAAACAAGGAAUAAAAGUAGGAGACUUAUUUAAUCGUACUACUAACCAAACAAAUGGUAACGACUAUAUAAAAAUAAUGAAUACACAAAAUAAAAACAUUAUUACAGCAUCUACAGUUGGUAUUGAUAUUAAUAGUAAAAAAAUGUUUAACGUUGUUAAUAAUGGUAGUAAUAAUGGUAUAAUUGAUAGUAAUAUUAAUGAUGGUACUGUUACAGAUUCGAAUGGUGCUACUGGUAAAAAUAUAAAUCAAUACAAAUUACAUAGUAUGCCUGACCAAUAUAAAUUUAAUUAUUUUGAUGUGACAUCGCCAGCCGUUGUAAGAAAAAAUGUACAACUUCCUAGUCGUUCAAUUAAAUCUCCACAUAUAGCCAGAUUGCUUCAAAAAAUAAAAAAUCGCAAAGACUGUCAACAAACGCUGAAUGGUAAUAUUAAUAGAGUUUCACUAAAUCAAGCAAUUAAUACUGCGGGAAAAAGAGGUAGAAGUAGUAUUAAUAAUAACUUAAGCGGAGGGACAUUAAACAAUAAUAAUAAACCAUUUAUCACUAAUGCAAAAAAUAGUAAAAUUGAUAAUUCGUUCGACUUGUUUCAUCAUUUAUGAGGGAAAAUUAAUAGCUGCAUUUUUGUUGUGCUAGCUAUAACAUUAGUAGUUAUUGUGAGUUCAUUAUAAUAGU